AUUGAACGCUGGCGGCAGGCCUAACACAUGCAAGUCGAACGGUAACAGGAAGAAGCUUGCUUCUUUGCUGAUGAGUGGCGGACGGGUGAGUAAUGUCUGGGAAGCUGCCUGAUGGAGGGGGAUAACUACUGGAAACGGUAGCUAAUACCGCAUAACGUCGCAAGACCAAAAAGGGGGACCUUCGUGCCUCUUGCCAUCGGAUGUGCCCAGAUGGGAUUAGCUAGUAGGUGGGGUAACGGCUCACCUAGGCGACGAUCCCUAGCUGGUCUGAGAGGAUGACCAGCCACACUGGAACUGAGACACGGUCCAGACUCCUACGGGAGGCAGCAGUGGGGAAUAUUGCACAAUGGGCGCAAGCCUGAUGCAGCCAUGCCGCGUGUAUGAAGAAGGCCUUCGGGUUGUAAAGUACUUUCAGCGGGGAGGAAGGGAGUAAAGUUAAUACCUUUGCUCAUUGACGUUACCCGCAGAAGAAGCACCGGCUAACUCCGUG
rnacentral:rRNA from 1 species